rnacentral:rRNA from 1 species
GGGGGAUAUUGCGCAAUGGGGGCAACCCUGACGCAGCAACGCCGCGUGAAGGAUGAAGGUUUUCGGAUUGUAAACUUCUUUUAUUAAGGACGAAACUUGACGGUACUUAAUGAAUAAGCUCCGGCUAACUACGUGCCAGCAGCCGCGGUAAUACGUAGGGAGCGAGCGUUGUCCGGAUUUACUGGGUGUAAAGGGUGCGUAGGCGGCUUUGCAAGUCAGAUGUGAAAUCUAUGGGCUCAACCCAUAAACUGCAUUUGAAACUGUAGAGCUUGAGUGAAGUAGAGGCAGGCGGAAUUCCCCGUGUAGCGGUGAAAUGCGUAGAGAUGGGGAGGAACACCAGUGGCGAAGGCGGCCUGCUGGGCUGUAACUGACGCUGAGGCACGAAAGCGUGGGUAGCAAAC